AAUAACACUGGGGAACACAAUUUUUGUUGAGUUAGGUCUGACAGCUGUUUUUAACUAAUUUCUGGGUGCGGAAUCCAAAACCGAUCUCAGUUUUUCUCUAUCACGUCAAGUUUUUGAACUAUAGGAUCCCCGUUUUCUUAAAAAAUAUGAAAAAUACUGUACUUAGCAGAUAUGUGCUUGUUUUAUAAAAAUUUUCAAAUAUUGACAUACAAUGAAAUAUGAAAGAAACAGGCAUGACUGCAAUGUUUAUUUAACACUAUUAUGUUUUUACAAAGGAUAUGGCUACUGUAAUUAUAAUUGUAUAUUGAUAGUACUGACCUAUUGGGAGCUGCACACACCUCUCACCGCACUGUCUCAAUUGUGACUACACAAACAAGUUGCCACGUAGCUGCAGAUGAGUCCAGUCGUAAUCAGCUGGCAAGUCUUACAACAGAUAAUCAGUGGAAUUUUGCUUAUCUGGAGGGUAAGCUGUGGAGAAAAGACUUGAUGUGCUAGUAAAAAACUGACUGCAAUUUUGGAAUCAGCAUGCCAAUUUUAGUUUUAAUCAGCAUAAAAAUCUAACUCAACAGAAUUUUUUUU